rnacentral:rRNA from 1 species
AUUGAACGCUGGCGGCAUGCCUUACACAUGCAAGUCGAACGGCAGCACGGGAGCAAUCCUGGUGGCGAGUGGCGAACGGGUGAGUAAAGUAUCGGAACGUGCCCAGUCGUGGGGGAUAACGUAGCGAAAGUUACGCUAAUACCGCAUACGAUCUAUGGAUGAAAGCGGGGGAUCGCAAGACCUCGCGCGAUUGGAGCGGCCGAUAUCAGAUUAGGUAGUUGGUGGGGUAAAGGAUCACCAAGCCGACGAACUGUAGCGGGUCUGAGAGGACGGCCAGCCACACUGGGACUGAGACACGGCCCAGACUCCUACGGGAGGCAGCAGUGGGGAAUUUUGGACAAUGGGCGAAAGCCUGAUCCAGCCAUGCCGCGUGCAGGAUGAAGGCCUUCGGGUUGUAAACUGCUUUUGUACGGAACGAAAAGGUUUGGGCUAAUAAGCUGAGCUCAUGACGGUCCGUAAGAAUAAGCACCGGCUAACUACGUGCCAGCAGCCGCAGUAA